AAUUGAUUUAACCACAUUUGACUAAUAAAUAAACAAAAAUAUAUUAAAAAAAAAAUUAACUACUGAACUAACUCCAAUUUUAUUCAAUUAAACUAUGAUUCAAACUGAUCAAUCAGUCCAAUAAGUAAAACUUCGAGAGAUAUAGAGUAAUCGACGGUGGCACCGAAUGAUUGAAGAAUACAGAAAGUUCAUCAAGAUGCUCUAUUUUCCCUAGCAAAACACCCAUCUCACCAGGUGAGCUAACGAGUUAAUUAACUUCCAAAUUCAAUGUGUUGUUUUGCUUGGCGACAAGACAAUCAAGCCUCGCCACAUCUUUGGCAAAAGUGUUACUUAUGAAACAAUAUUUUAAGGUUUCUCUCUAAUGCUUUUAUGAAUCUUUGGCUUAAAGUUCAUCUGGAAUUGCAAGAAUUCAUUGUUGCCGAAUGAGAUUGAAGAUUUAAUUCAAUUCAAGUAUGGGUAAUUCUUACUAUCUCAUUGUCGAUGCUAUUGUUUCAAAGAACAUGAGUAGCUUAGUUUAAAAGAUUAUGAUUACAUGAACUUUUUUAUUCUAUUAUGGGAUUGGUUCUUAUUUCUGUUAUGCAAUUGAUGUUUAUUCAUAGUAAAUAUUUUUCUUGUACUUA